AUGAUCUGUCCAGCACAAGGCCCAGCGGUUACCCGCGGUGGGGGUGGGGGGCCGCUGGGACUGAUGCCAACCAGGUGGGUUUGAGGGCAGGUCACACUUGGUCUGGGGCCAGACUGACCACUGCACCGCCCCCCCCCCCCCCCCCCACAAGCUUGCAGGUUCCCAGGAGCCCCAAGCCCGAGGCCAACCGCCACCCAUCCCCACCUACCUCGCACAGGACGAUUCCAAAGGAAAACACAUCCACCUUCUCAUCGUAGCUGCGGCCUGGAUGGAGAGAUCGGCUGUCAGCAGGUACCGUUGCAAACAUCCUAAGAGAGACUGAGAAGGACGACACACAGGGAGAGGCGGCCGUGGCCACGAGCCCGGGAAUGCCAGGGCAGCCACCAGAAGCCAGAAGCCACAAGGAGUGGGUGCUCCCCGGAAAUCCCUGGAGGGAGCGGGGCUCUCCUGGAUUGCAGACUUCUGGCUUCCAGAACUACAAGGGAAUAAAUGUCUGUUGUUUUAAACCA